GACAGAGGGUGCAAACGUUGUUCGGAAUUACUGGGCGUAAAGCGCGUGUAGGCGGCCCAGCAAGUCGGAUGUGAAAGCCCUGGGCUUAACCUAGGAAGUGCAUUCGAAACUGCUGGGCUUGAGUUCUGGAGAGGAAGGCGGAAUUCCCAGUGUAGAGGUGAAAUUCGUAGAUAUUGGGAAGAACACCGGUGGCGAAGGCGGCUCUCUGGACCACAACUGACGCUGAGGCGCGAAAGCGUGGGUAGCAAAACAGG
rnacentral:rRNA from 1 species